UACGGGGGGGACAAGCGUUGUUCGGAAUUACUGGGCGUAAAGGGCUCGUAGGCGGCCAACUAAGUCAGACGUGAAAUCCCUCGGCUUAACCGGGGAACUGCGUCUGAUACUGGAUGGCUUGAGGUUGGGAGAGGGAUGCGGAAUUCCAGGUGUAGCGGUGAAAUGCGUAGAUAUCUGGAGGAACACCGGUGGCGAAGGCGGCAUCCUGGACCAAUUCUGACGCUGAGGAGCGAAAGCCAGGGGGGCAAACGGG
rnacentral:rRNA from 1 species